CAGCACUUGAUACUAACCGAGCUAUCUGUAUCCUGGUCUUGUGACAAAGGCUUGUGAUAAGUGUUGUGAUAGCUGGGUUUAAAAAGUGCAAUAUUAAAACAGAAGCCAUGAGUCUUUUAAGCCCAGAGUGUAAAGUCACACUCUGAGUUAUAACUCAGAGGCACAACU
ensembl:snoRNA SCARNA1 small Cajal body-specific RNA 1